GAAAAUUACGGAAAUUAGAAUCGACUGGUGUAUUGACGAGGUAAUAUAAAUAAUAUUAUUUCGUUAGAAAUGGUAAAAAAUACAUCAGCGAGUAAACGGUGAACGGACGAACACAAAAUCCACCGGAUCAGCAAAUUCUUACACGGGCGUCGUCGAGUUUACCACCACACCGGGUAACCAUCAUCGUCAUCGUCGUGGUCGUCGCCGCCGUCGCAAACGAAGGUUACCGCCAGGACGUGUGUGCCGCCGCCGGAUAUUCAUUAUUUUUGUUCACGCUCCGUCGUGCCGUUGCGUGACGUAAACGAGCUCUUAUACGAUUAUUUUUUUUUU